rnacentral:rRNA from 1 species
UACGUAGGGUGCGAGCGUUGUCCGGAAUUAUUGGGCGUAAAGAGCUCGUAGGCGGUCUGUCGCGUCGGCUGUGAAAACCCGGAGCUCAACUCCGGGCCUGCAGUCGAUACGGGCAGACUGGAGGUUCGGCAGGGGAGACUGGAAUUCCUGGUGUAGCGGUGAAAUGCGCAGAUAUCAGGAGGAACACCGGUGGCGAAGGCGGGUCUCUGGGCCGAAUACUGACGCUGAGGAGCGAAAGCGUGGGGAGCGAACAGG